CAGAAACAUGAGAAUGGCAGGUAUUAGAAGUGUCUUUCAUAUCGAGUCUUCCGGGAAUUUAGCAAAUAGAAUGGAACAAGAGUGUGGCUGAUACUUCCUCCAGAAAGGGUUAGUGGUUCUGUCAAAGCAGAGCAGUUCUUUUCUCCUAUUUGCUCUGUUUAAUGUUGUCAGCUGACCCUGAUCCCAGUAGAAGCCAGGGUGGAUGAAGAAUGGUGCCAAAUCAGGCACGAAGCCAACACAGCUGGGACUGAGUUAUUUGUCAUGGGCAGGACCCUCUAUCAAGGCCUGCUUCUUUCAGGGAGGUCAACAAGGUGCAUGGGACCCCAGCAGGCCACAUGCUCCAAAGAUAGCUGGCCUCAUCCACCUGAGGGCCAGCACUUGCCUGC
rnacentral:lncRNA from 1 species